AUGAAUUCUGCCAUCUUGACUGCAUUUGCAAAUAUCUCAGUCCUAAUGCAGGAGAAGCAAGUUCUCUGUAUGUGACUGUCAACCCAGCUCCUGGUGGUCCUAUGAUUGUUUGGGUAUGCUUCCAGCACAGGUGUAAAAUGCAACAAGGUGGGAAGGAAACCCUUCUCCUGCAGCAGCACCUGGGGUAGAAGGCUUAGACAACACAAGUUCACUGCACCUGAAUUGGGUGAAGUUUUGCAAAUUCAAUGGUGUUAAUUAUUAGUAAUCCCUGUGAUUAUAUAACAGUACUCAUGGUGGUGAUUCUUUUUGCUGAACAGAAACUAUGCAGCAAGAGAGAAGUGGUUUCUACAAAGAAAACAGUUCUUCCUCACAUUUCAAGAAUCAGUGAACAUCGAUAUUUAAGUCUUGAGAUUCCUGCUUUUUUGGAGAAAGAUACAUAUAUGAACAUGACGUCAACAGCUGGAUUCAAUCUGAAUAGAUGGAGAUGUAAAGCAAACGGGUGAGCUAGAAGAAUUGCAUCUUCAUAUUUCCAAGAAAUGUUGUUAUUGUUU
rnacentral:lncRNA from 1 species